GUGCCAGCGCGGUAAUACAGAGGUCCCAAGCGUUGUUCGGAUUCACUGGGCGUAAAGGGUGCGUAGGCGGUCGGGUAAGUCUGAUGUGAAAUCUCACAGCUUAACUGUGAAACUGCAUUGGAUACUAUUCGGCUAGAGAGUUGGAGGGGGGACUGGAAUUCUUGGUGUAGCAGUGAAAUGCGUAGAUAUCAAGAGGAACACCAGUGGCGAAGGCGAGUCUCUGGACAACUUCUGACGCUGAGGCACGAAAGCUAGGGGAGCAAACAGG
rnacentral:rRNA from 1 species